CCAGCUCAGGACGAACGCUGGCGGCGUGCCUAAUACAUGCAAGUCGAGCGGACAGAUGGGAGCUUGCUCCCUGAUGUUAGCGGCGGACGGGUGAGUAACACGUGGGUAACCUGCCUGUAAGACUGGGAUAACUCCGGGAAACCGGGGCUAAUACCGGAUGGUUGUUUGAACCGCAUGGUUCAGACAUAAAAGGUGGCUUCGGCUACCACUUACAGAUGGACCCGCGGCGCAUUAGCUAGUUGGUGAGGUAACGGCUCACCAAGGCAACGAUGCGUAGCCGACCUGAGAGGGUGAUCGGCCACACUGGGACUGAGACACGGCCCAGACUCCUACGGGAGGCAGCAGUAGGGAAUCUUCCGCAAUGGACGAAAGUCUGACGGAGCAACGCCGCGUGAGUGAUGAAGGUUUUCGGAUCGUAAAGCUCUGUUGUUAGGGAAGAACAAGUGCCGUUCAAAUAGGGCGGCACCUUGACGGUACCUAACCAGAAAGCCACGGCUAACUACGUGCCAGCAGCCGCGGUAAUACGUAGGUGGCAAGCGUUGUCCGGAAUUAUUGGGCGUAAAGGGCUCGCAGGCGGUUUCUUAAGUCUGAUGUGAAAGCCCCCGGCUCAACCGGGGAGGGUCAUUGGAAACUGGGGAACUUGAGUGCAGAAGAGGAGAGUGGAAUUCCACGUGUAGCGGUGAAAUGCGUAGAGAUGUGGAGGAACACCAGUGGCGAAGGCGACUCUCUGGUCUGUAACUGACGCUGAGGAGCGAAAGCGUGGGGAGCGAACAGGAUUAGAUACCCUGGUAGUCCACGCCGUAAACGAUGAGUGCUAAGUGUUAGGGGGUUUCCGCCCCUUAGUGCUGCAGCUAACGCAUAAGCACUCCGCCU
rnacentral:rRNA from 1 species